rnacentral:sRNA from 1 species
AAUCGGCGUACAACACCAGGGACGUGUCCUUACCGUGGUGCCGAGGGAAACAAGCCUCAGUAACAGCAGCUAUAAAGCUGGAAAACUGAAAAAUAAAGUGUCGGGUGGAGUUUGGUAGGCUGUAAACAGUUCGAAGAAGUCAGGCC